rnacentral:lncRNA from 1 species
CUCGCAUAUACCACUCCAGGCCUCGGACAGAGGCCACACCAGGAUGAGGAAGAAAGGGGCACAAAUACAAACACAGCCCCCCCCCCGAGAUAGAUAGAUAGAUAGAUAGAUAGAUAGAUAGAUAGAUAGAUAGAUAUACACACAGAGAUAUACGAGAGCGCUGUAACAGUGAAUGACUCCAGACUUACGGAAUCCGUGAACUGCGCCCCCCGGCCUUCUUCUCCUUGCCAGUCGCCCACUUUGAAAUGGGGGUGCCCACUUUUCUUCCAAAUCUUUUUUUCGGGGAGAGGCAGGCAGCCAGCCAGCCGAGACGCCUUUCUGCUGCCCCCCCCCCUUCCCCGUUGGUCGUGUGGCUCUGGUUUCUUAUUUUUCUUAUUAUUAUUUUAAUCUUUCCCUGGGAAAUUAAAAGCGAAUUCCCUGGGCUCUCUCCGCUCCACUUCUCUUAAAAAUCUCCCUUCCGUAGAGAAUCUGGGCACAAGUUGGAGCCGCUCUCCAUCCGGAAUCCCCCCCACCCCCGAUGCGCCCUCAAGGACCAAGAGAAGCAAAUAGAUGGGUGGGGAGGAAGGAAGGAAGGAUGGGGAGUGAGACGAGAGGGCCCUGCUGGCUCCCGGGGGGCUCGCCGCCCCCCACUCCCGGCCGCCACCAGGCCCCUCCAAGCCGAUCCGUGCGCGGCGCAGGGCAAGUUCGAGGACGCCUGCGGUGGGAGGGGGAAUUUGGGGAGGGGGCUAAGCAGCUGCCGUAGAAGUCAGAGCCCAGCCAGAGGCCCCCUCCUGCCCGGGGGGGGAGAACUGUCCGUAAAAGAGGAAAUUCCCCAUGUCCGCCGCCUCUCCAGGGUGCAGCGCCUCCCCUUUAAAUGGGGAGGGGGGCUGGGACCCCCCCUCUUCCUGUCUUCCCCCCCCCCUUUAAUGGCACACUAUCUCCUUGUCGCUUUUCUCCAGGACGGGGGGGGUGGGGUGGGGAGAGAGGGAGAUGAUGAGGAGCCGAUGUUGGUCUCUUCCUCUCCUGCAAAAUUGGGUGGGAGCGACGCAGCCCCCCCCCACACGCCCCCACCGCUCCUCCUGUGCUGCUGCUGGGGCCGCUCGGAUCGUCCUUCCUUCUCUUCCUCUCGCUACGGUCCUUCAAUCAUUCGACGGCGGCGGCGGCAGCGACGGCAGGCUUGGGGGGGAAAGAGGGAGGGGGAGGGAUGGCGAAGAUGCAAUUCCGUGCUCCGCGCCCGGAUCCUCCGGGGGGCGACGAGGAGGAGGGGGAAAGAGCGGUCGCUCCUGCUGCGCCCCCUCCCUUGUUUCCCAAACUCGGUCGCCUCGGAAGGAAAUCUAAAAAGUAUUUCUGUGCAUGCAUGCUGAGUUGCCCGUUUCCUUGGUUGUUUGCAUUCACCAUCACAACAUUCUCUGGAGACAGAAAGGAAUUGUAAACUUCAAGAGUGCUUCUGAGCAUCUGCAGGUAGCAGCCUCUACUUAAGUAUCUCUCCACAGAAAUCAACACA